GAGGUAAUACUUAAUGUGGCUUUAUACUGGGCUGUUUUUUAAGAGUUCUUUGUGGAAAUUUGUGUUCUUGGACACUGCUGAUCUUGAAAUAAAUUCUGAUAUUCAAGUACCAAACUCAUUUCCUGGCAUAUUUGACACAUCCAACUAAAUAAUUAUUCUGACCAUAUUCUUCAAUGAGUCAUGCCCUUGUGGUGGAGUCAUCAAUCCCUAUUGAAGUUAUUCUCUUGUAUGAGAUUUAAUUUAAUACUUAUGCUUUGC
rnacentral:misc_RNA from 1 species